GAUGAACGCUGGCGGCGUGCCUAAUACAUGCAAGUCGAGCGAACAGAUGAGGAGCUUGCUCCUCUGACGUUAGCGGCGGACGGGUGAGUAACACGUGGAUAACCUACCUAUAAGACUGGGAUAACUUCGGGAAACCGGAGCUAAUACCGGAUAAUAUAUUGAACCGCAUGGUUCAAUAGUGAAAGACGGUUUUGCUGUCACUUAUAGAUGGAUCCGCGCCGCAUUAGCUAGUUGGUAAGGUAACGGCUUACCAAGGCAACGAUGCGUAGCCGACCUGAGAGGGUGAGCACCCACACUGGAACUGCGACACGGUCCAGACUCCUACGGGAGGCAGCAGUAGGGAAUCUUACGCACAGGGCGAAAGCCUGACGGAGCAACGCCGCGUGAGUGAUGAAGGUCUUCGGAUCGUAAAACUCUGUUAUUAGGGAAGAACAAAUGUGUAAGUAACUAUGCACGUCUUGACGGUACCUAAUCAGAAAGCCACGGCUAACUACGUG
rnacentral:rRNA from 1 species